rnacentral:rRNA from 1 species
UGGGGAAUAUUGCGCAAUGGGGGCAACCCUGACGCAGCAACGCCGCGUGCGGGACGACGGCCUUCGGGUUGUAAACCGCUUUCAGCAGGGAAGAUAAUGACGGUACCCUGUGAGGAAGCCCCGGCUAACUACGUGCCAGCAGCCGCGGUAAUACGUAGGGGGCUAGCGUUAUCCGGAUUUACUGGGCGUAAAGGGUGCGUAGGUGGUCUUUCAAGUCGGUGGUUAAAGGCUACGGCUCAACCGUAGUUAGCCUCCGAAACUGGAAGACUUGAGUGCAGGAGAGGAAAGUGGAAUUCCCAGUGUAGCGGUGAAAUGCGUAGAUAUUGGGAGGAACACCAGUAGCGAAGGCGGCUUUCUGGACUGCAACUGACACUGAGGCACGAAAGCGUGGGUAGCAAACAGG